GCCAGGCGUGAUGGCUCAUGCCUGUAAUCUCAACACUUGGGAGGCUGAGGUGGGAGGAUCACUUGAGUCCAGGAGUUUGAGACCAGCCUGGGCAACAUAGUGAGACCCUAUCUCUA
rnacentral:SRP_RNA from 1 species